UUCGGGCCUCGCGCGAUUGGAGCGGCCGAUAUCAGAUUAGCUAGUUGGUGGGGUAAAAGCCCACCAAGGCGACGAUCUGUAGCUGGUCUGAGAGGACGACCAGCCACACUGGAACUGAGACACGGUCCAGACUCCUACGGGAGGCAGCAGUGGGGAAUUUUGGACAAUGGACGCAAGUCUGAUCCAGCAAUGCCGCGUGCAGGAUGAAGGCCUUCGGGUUGUAAACUGCUUUUGUACGGAACGAAACGGCUCCUAUUAAUACUGGGGGCUAAUGACGGUACCGUAAGAAUAAGCACCGGCUAACUACGUGCCAGCAGCCGCGGUAAUACGUAGGGUGCGAGCGUUAAUCGGAAUUACUGGGCGUAAAGCGUGCGCAGGCGGUUAUAUAAGACAGAUGUGAAAUCCCCGGGCUCAACCUGGGACCUGCAUUUGUGACUGUAUAGCUAGAGUACGGUAGAGGGGGAUGGAAUUCCGCGUGUAGCAGUGAAAUGCGUAGAUAUGAGGAGGAACACCGAUGGCGAAGGCAAUCCCCUGGACCUGUACUGACGCUCAUGCACGAAAGCGUGGGGAGCAAACAGGAUUAGAUACCCCGGUAGUCCACGCCCUAAACGAUGUCAACUGGUUGUUGGGUCUUCACUGACUCAGUAACGAAGCUAACGCGUGAAGUUGACCGCCUGGGGAGUACGGCCGCGAGGUUGAAACUCAAAGGAAUAGACGGGGACCCGCACAAGCGGUGGAUGAUGUGGUUUAAUUCGAUGCAACGCGAAAAACCUUACCCACCUCUGACAUGUACGGAACUCGCCAGAGAUGGCUUGGUGCUCGAAAGAGAGCCGUAACACAGGUGCUGCAUGGCUGUCGUCAGCUCGUGUCGUGAGAUGUUGGGUUAAGUCCCGCAACGAGCGCAACCCUCGUCAUUAGUUGCUACAUUUAGUUGGGCACUCUAAUGAGACUGCCGGUGACAAGCCGGAGGAAGGUGGGGAUGACGUCAAGUCCUCAUGGCCCUCAUAGGUGGGGGUACACACGUCAUACAAUGGCUGGUACAAAGGGUUGCCAACCCGCGAGGGGGAGCUAAUCCCACAAAGCCAGUCGUAGUCCGGAUCGUAGUCUGCAACUCGACUACGUGAAGUCGGAAUCGCUAGUAAUCGUGGAUCAGAAUGUCACGGCGAAAAAGUUCCCGGGUCUUGCACACACCGCCCG
rnacentral:rRNA from 1 species